GAAACUGCGAAUGGCUCAUUAAAUCAGUUAUCGUUUAUUUUGAUAGUACUUUCACUACAUGGACAACUGUGGUAAUUACUAGAGCUAAUACAUGCUAAAAACCCCGACUUCGGGAGGGGUGUAUUUAUUAGAUAAAAAACCAACGCCCUCCGGGGCUCCUUGGUGAAUCAUAAUAACUUAACGAAUCGCAUGGCCUUGAGCCGGCGAUGGUUCAUUCAAAUUUCUGCCCUAUCAACUUUCGAUGGUAGGAUAGUGGCCUACCAUGGUCUCAACGGGUAACGGGGAAUUAGGGUUCGACUCCGGAGAGGGAGCCUGAGAAACGGCUACCACAUCCAAGGAAGGCAGCAGGCGCGCAAAUUACCCAAUCCCGACACGGGGAGGUAGUGACAAUAAAUACUGAUACAGGGCUCUUUCGGGUCUUGUAAUUGGAAUGAGUACAAUUUAAAUCCCUUAACGAGGAACAAUUGGAGGGCAAGUCUGGUGCCAGCAGCCGCGGUAAUUCCAGCUCCAAUAGCGUAUAUUAAAGUUGUUGCAGUUAAAAAGCUCGUAGUUGAACCUUGGGCCUGGCUGGCCGGUCCGCCUCACCGCGUGUACUGGUCCGGCCGGGCCUUUCCUUCUGGGGAACCACAUGGCCUUCACUGGCCGUGUCGGGGAACCAGGACUUUUACUUUGAAAAAAUUAGAGUGUUCAAAGCAGGCCUUUGCUCGAAUACAUUAGCAUGGAAUAAUAGAAUAGGACGUGCGGUUCUAUUUUGUUGGUUUCUAGGACCGCCGUAAUGAUUAAUAGGGACAGUCGGGGGCAUCCGUAUUCAAUUGUCAGAGGUGAAAUUCUUGGAUUUAUUGAAGACGAACUACUGCCAAAGCAUUUGCCAAGGAUGUUUUCAUUAAUCAGUGAACGAAAGUUAGGGGAUCGAGGACGAUCAGAUACCGUCGUAAUCUUAACCAUAAACUAUGCCGACUAGGGAUCGGUGGGUGUUAU
rnacentral:rRNA from 1 species